rnacentral:rRNA from 1 species
GCAGUGGGGAAUAUUGCACAAUGGGGGAAACCCUGAUGCAGCGACGCCGCGUGAGCGAAGAAGUAUUUCGGUAUGUAAAGCUCUAUCAGCAGGGAAGAAAAUGACGGUACCUGACUAAGAAGCCCCGGCUAACUACGUGCCAGCAGCCGCGGUAAUACGUAGGGGGCAAGCGUUGUCCGGAAUAAUUGGGCGUAAAGGGCGCGUAGGCGGCUCGGUAAGUCUGGAGUGAAAGUCCUGCUUUUAAGGUGGGAAUUGCUUUGGAUACUGUCGGGCUUGAGUGCAGGAGAGGUUAGUGGAAUUCCCAGUGUAGCGGUGAAAUGCGUAGAGAUUGGGAGGAACACCAGUGGCGAAGGCGACUAACUGGACUGUAACUGACGCUGAGGCGCGAAAGUGUGGGGAGCAAACAGGAUUAGAUACCCUGGUAGUCCACACUGUAAACGAUGAAUGCUAGGUGUAGGGGGUAUCGACCCCUUCUGUGCCGCAGUCAACACAAUAAGCAUUCCGCCUGGGGAGUACGGCCGCAAGGUUGAAACUCAAAGGAAUUGACGGGGGCCCGCACAAGCAGCGGAGCAUGUGGUUUAAUUCGACGCAACGCGAAGAACCUUACCAGGUCUUGACAUCCACUUAAACUUACAGAGAUGUAAGGUGUGCUUGCACAAAGUGAGACAGGUGGUGCAUGGUUGUCGUCAGCUCGUGUCGUGAGAUGUUGGGUUAA